rnacentral:rRNA from 1 species
AUGUAUGUUAUGAAGACCGGAUUUUGCAAGUUUAUCGAAAGAUGCAAGUUUCACCAUCCAGUUAAUUGGUCUGCACCUGAUUGCAUUGUAAAAUGGAAGGAGAGAGAAAAUUGCCAUGGUAUGGAUUACCGGCCACGGGGCGUGUUUCUUGCCUCUGCCGAAGAGCAGGAGGAUGCGAAGCAGGGCCAACCUAAGCUGCAUAACGGGGUGUCAUCGGGGGCGAAGGAGAGAUCCGACGAGAGCAGUGACAUGGUGGGGUUCGGCAAGGUCAAUAAGGUGACCCGCAGGGCUUGGCAAGACAGUGAGACAUGGUCGUGGGAGCGGAGCACAUCUUUGGAAGGAUGA